rnacentral:lncRNA from 1 species
ACUGAAAAAUAAGAAUGACAUCCAUUGUUAUUAACGUGAAUGAGGAUCAUAAUUGGCUUAAUAAUGAUGGAAAAAUAAGCCUGCAAUAACUAGACAAAGGCAAACUCUUUACACGAAGAUGAUAAUGAUUAAUAUCUGUUAGCUAAUAGUAUAUGAUAUUCCAUACAAGAGUUAACCGUUACAAAUUGAUGUACUCAUCCUUCUCUCCACCUUGACGUCCUUGAACCCAGGAGUUAUUUUGAAUGACAUUGCAAAAAAAAGCAAUACAUGCAUAUAAUAUUCAAGAACCAAUCUAAUGCAUGUUCUAUAGACUUACACAAUGGUUACACAAAAGUGUGUUAAAGGACUGAAACCAUUAAACCCGUUUGACGCACCUUAUAUAAGUAUAAGUAAAAUACUAAAGAUGUAUGAAGAUGAGUGAAUCACACUUACUCGCAAAAAAAUAUAACCUACCUUUGAGUAUUGCAAAAUACCUACAUACACACAUUAAAUGAGUGAAAAGGAAGAAUUUCAGUCUUGAAUACCAUUGAAUGAGUCAUAAAAUAUUCUACAUCAACAAAAAAAGUGAAAAAAUCCUUCCAAGAAAAUGUGAAAGUUAAAGAGUUCAAAAGAUGCUAAGGGGACGUGACAAAGAGCGACAAAAAGUAUCUUUGAAAAGUCUAUAGAGUUCAAGUUAUAAGAUGAAUUUGCACAUAUAUUUGGAACGGAUCAAAAGACAAUUUAAUUAUAAUAAAUUAUUUUUUAUUUAUUUACUUUCUUCUAAACUCAAUAUCUUUUUUUCAAAAUUAAAAGAUCCCUUCAUUAUCGAAGGAAAAAUGCCACGAAGUAUACAUACAUAAACCAAA